GACUUUUACCAGUUACACGCGUUUCACAAAGCUAGAACGAACGUUAAAAUUCAGCAUGAGAUGAAUUUACAAGAUUUUAGGGUGAGUUCUACACGGAAUAGUGGAGGGAGAAAUUAUAUCUCCCCUAAAACCCCCUAUACCCGUAUACACCAAACUGUUGCAGUCAUGCGGGGUCGCGUGCGUAAAAUCGUUAUAUUCCCACCACAUCAGUGAAAAUAUACGAGAGUGAAGAUCACAACGAGAAUUAUUCAGGCGGGAACAAGAGAGAUUAGGCGGCAAUUCAUCAAUUGCAGUUAAUUGAUCGAAAGAAGCCUCAACAGAUGAUGAGCUCUCUUUGUCUCUCACUGAAACACUAAGAGAACGGGCGUGAGUGAAGAAUCGUGAGAAAUUAAUGACUCUGGACUUGAAAGAGAACUUGACAACGGAACAGAACAAAGAGCUUCAGCGUUCCUUGUUUUAUCGCAAGACGCAAUCGAUUCGGGGAAGCAGAACGCCAGGGAACAAAACAUUUUAUUUUAUUCCCACUCUAUCCUAUGAUUAACCAUAAUUAUUCUCAUUUACAUAAUUCACCCCUGAAGUGUUGUAUUUUAAAAUGAACGUAACAAUCGAUAAAUUUGAAUGAAUAUGUUUUCUAACUGAAGUACGAACUUUCUGGAAACAUUCAAGAAUUUUCGCUUUUAGCGACUCCUUUUAGUGAUAUGCUC